rnacentral:rRNA from 1 species
GAUGAACGCUGGCGGUAUGCUUAACACAUGCAAGUCGAACGGACUCUUCGGAGUUAGUGGCGGACGGGUGAGUAACGCGUGAGAAUCUGGCUUUGGGUUCGGGACAACCACUGGAAACGGUGGCUAAUACCGGAUGUGCCGAGAGGUAAAAGAGAAAUUGCCUGAAGAUGAGCUCGCGUCUGAUUAGCUAGUUGGUGAGGUAAAGGCUCACCAAGGCAGCGAUCAGUAGCUGGUCUGAGAGGAUGACCAGCCACACUGGGACUGAGACACGGCCCAGACUCCUACGGGAGGCAGCAGUGGGGAAUUUUCCGAAAUGGGCGAAAGCCUGACGGAGCAAUACCGCGUGAGGGAAGAAGGCUCUUGGGGUGUAAACCUCUUUUCUUAGGGAAGAACAAAAUGACGGUACCUAAGGAAUCAGCAUCGGCUAACUCCGUG